AAAAUCCGUCGACUUUUAAAAUCGUGAGGGG
rnacentral:tRNA from 1 species